GACAUGAGCAGAGUGCUACCAGCUCCUAUACCAGGGUGUAACCGACGCCAGCACCUUGUGAGUACACGCACUAAGUGCGUCAUCAAAUGCUGGGUCUUCCGUGUCUGCUCUCUAGCUUGGCCCUGCAAGUCCUCUUAGCUACAGAGUCUGCCUCUAGGCCCUGUCAGUCCUUUCUCAUCCCUCUGUCAGCUCUGGCUCGGCCUUCUGCCCUAGCUCUCCCUCCCUUUGCCCAUUUGAGAGUCACUCAGGUUGGCUGGCUCCUGAGAUCUCCUUUAUCUCCAUGUGUGGCUUAUGCACAAGCAGUCCUCCUUAGUCGGUGUUCGUGCUUGUAUUUGUGAGCAGGCCUGU
rnacentral:lncRNA from 1 species